UACGUAGGUGGCAAGCGUUAUCCGGAAUUAUUGGGCGUAAAGAGCGCGCAGGUGGUUAAUUAAGUCUGAUGUGAAAGCCCACGGCUUAACCGUGGAGGGUCAUUGGAAACUGGUUGACUUGAGUGCAGAAGAGGGAAGUGGAAUUCCAUGUGUAGCGGUGAAAUGCGUAGAGAUAUGGAGGAACACCAGUGGCGAAGGCGGCUUCCUGGUCUGCAACUGACACUGAGGCGCGAAAGCGUGGGGAGCAAACGGG
rnacentral:rRNA from 1 species